rnacentral:rRNA from 1 species
UACGUAGGGUGCGAGCGUUGUCCGGAAUUAUUGGGCGUAAAGAGCUCGUAGGCGGUUUGUUGCGUCGGCCGUGAAAACCUGCAGCUUAACUGUGGGCCUGCGGCCGAUACGGGCAGACUUGAGUUCGGUAGGGGAGACUGGAAUUCCUGGUGCAGCGGUGAAAUGCGCAGAUAUCAGGAGGAACACCGGUGGCGAAGGCGGGUCUCUGGGCCGAUACUGACGCUGAGGAGCGAAAGCGUGGGGAGCGAACAGG